GCCUUGCUGGUGUAAUGGUAGCAGCAUGCGUCCCCGGUGUGGGUGAGGCGCGGGUUCGAUAUCCGCUCAUGGCC